rnacentral:rRNA from 1 species
UGCCAGCCGCCGCGGUAAUACGUAAGUGGCAAGCGUUGUCCGGAAUCACUGGGUGUAAAGCGCGUGUAGGCGGCCUGGUAAGUCUGAGGUGAAAUCCAUGGGCCUAACCCGUGAACUGCCUUGGAAACUGCCAAGCUUGAGGAGCAGAGGGGAAAGUGGAAUUUCGGGUGUAGCGGUGAAAUGCUUAGAUAUCCGAGAGAACACCGAUGGCGAAGGCAGCUUUCUGGCUGUUUCCUGACGCUGAGACGCGAAAGCUAGGGUAGCAAACGGGAUUAGAUA